rnacentral:rRNA from 1 species
AAAUUGAAGAGUUUGAUCAUGGCUCAGAUUGAACGCUGGCGGCAGGCCUAACACAUGCAAGUCGAGCGGAAACGAGUUGUC